GACGUAGGGCGCGAGCGUUGUCCGGAAUUAUUGGGCGUAAAGAGCUCGUAGGCGGUUUGUCGCGUCUGCUGUGAAAACUGGAGGCUCAACCUCCAGCCUGCAGUGGGUACGGGCAGACUAGAGUGCGGUAGGGGAGAUUGGAAUUCCUGGUGUAGCGGUGGAAUGCGCAGAUAUCAGGAGGAACACCGAUGGCGAAGGCAGAUCUCUGGGCCGUAACUGACGCUGAGGAGCGAAAGCAUGGGGAGCGAACAGG
rnacentral:rRNA from 1 species